UGCCGCGUANAGUGAAGUAGGCCUUCGGGUUGUAAAGCUCUUUUGUUCGGAAAGAAAUCGCUCGGGCUAAUACCUGGGGUGGAUGACGGUACCGGAAGAAUAAGCACCGGCUAACUACGUGCCAGCAGCCGCGGUAAUA
rnacentral:rRNA from 1 species